AAUCAACGCUGGCGGCGUGCCUCAGACAUGCAAGUCGAACGCGAAAGUUUCCUUCGGGAAGCGAGUAGAGUGGCGCACGGGUGAGUAACACGUAAGUAAUCUACCUCGGGGUGGGGAAUAACAUCGGAAAACCGAUGCUAAUACCGCAUAAUGCAGCGGCUUCUUAUGAAGACAGUUGUUAAAGCAUUUAUGUGCCUGGAGAGGAGGCUUGCGGCAGAUUAGCAGUUGGUAAGGUAAUGGCUUACCAAGGCAACGAUCUGUAGCCGACCUGAGAGGGUGGUCGGUCACACUGACACUGAAUAACGGGUCAGACUCCUACGGGAGGCAGCAGUCGGGAAUUUUGGGCAAUGGGCGAAAGCCUGACCCAGCAACGCCGCGUGAAGGNUGAAGUAUUUCGGUAUGUAAACUUACGUAAAAAUGGAAGAAUAAAUGACGGUACUAUUUGUAAGGUCCGGCUAACUACGUGCCAGCAGCCG
rnacentral:rRNA from 1 species